rnacentral:rRNA from 1 species
AUGAAAUCGGGUAUAGAACCCAUGGGAGGGGCUUGGGUACAAUUCCGAAUACGCUAUUAUAUGUUUGCGCUCGUUUUUGUUGUUUUUGAUGUGGAAACCCUCUUUCUAUACCCUUGGGCAAUGAGUUUCGACGUAUUGGGUGUAUCCGUUUUUAUCGAAGCUUUGAUUUUCGUGCUUAUCUUAGUUGUUGGUUUAGUUUAUGCAUGGCGAAAAGGAGCCUUGGAAUGGUCUUAA